rnacentral:rRNA from 1 species
GAUGAGCCUGCGUCCUAUUAGUUAGUUGGUGAGGUAACGGCUCACCAAGGCAACGAUGGAUAGGGGAACUGAGAGGUUUAUCCCCCACACUGGUACUGAGACACGGACCAGACUCCUACGGGAGGCAGCAGUGAGGAAUAUUGGUCAAUGGAGGCAACUCUGAACCAGCCACGUCGCGUGAAGGAUGACGGCCCUACGGGUUGUAAACUUCUUUUAUACAGGAAUAAAGUGAGUCACGUGUGACUUUUUGCAUGUACUGUAUGAAUAAGGAUCGGCUAACUCCGUGCCAGCAGCCGCGGUAAUACGGAGGAUCCAAGCGUUAUCCGGAUUUAUUGGGUUUAAAGGGUGCGCAGGCGGAAGAUUAAGUCGGCGGUGAAAUUUUGCAGCUCAACUGUAAAAGUGCCAUCGAUACUGGUUUUCUUGAGUGUGGAUGAAGUAGGCGGAAUUUGUGGUGUAGCGGUGAAAUGCAUAGAUAUCACGAGGAACUCCGAUUGCGCAGGCAGCUUACUAGGCCCAUAA